rnacentral:lncRNA from 1 species
UGCCAUAUCUGGCCUGGAGUUGGGACCAUAUACUCUGUGCAGUGUCAGAGUACUGUACAGAUUCAGCAAUUGCAGGGGAGAGGGAAGCAGUCAACCAAGAAAUCACCAUGUUGUUGCACAUAUCCCACAACCUUUGUUGAGCCACAUUAGUGGCAGGUCGGGAGUAUGUGCCAUCAACAAAACCAAUUUUGUUUUUGGAUGAUAAGGCAACAAUCAUUUUACGUCUCCAGCCCCCAUAACCACUACCCGAGAAGGGAGUGGGAAUGAGAGAGACCCCAGGAACAUCAGAAGAAUAUACAAAAAGGGGACUGGAAGAGUCUACAGAAGAGGAGGCAGGAGACCCCAGGAACAUCAGAUGAAUAUACAAAAAGGGGACUGGAAGAGUCUAUAGAAGAGGAGGCACCAGUAUUUGUGUUAGAAGCCAUAGUCAAUGAACUGGCUUAAAAGAACAAUUUUUUCAACAAACAGAGUAUAACCAAAUCAGGUAUUCACACACAACAACCAACAAACAGAGUAUAACCAAAUCAGGUAUUCACAGACAACACCAGAU